UCCAUACUUGCUGGGAGAUUGAGUAAUUGGUGUCUGGAUGUGCGUGUGCUGCUUCCCAAAAUACCUCUUUAAAAAGACGUGAGAGGGAUGCGGAGCCAGUAGGGAUGGCAAAGCUCGCUAUCACGUGGAUCACCCAGACUCCCUCAUUUUACUGGUUCUUCACAGCACCCAGGAAGAUUUUAGAUGGACCUCAAAUACAAAGGCUGUGAGGAGCCCUAUUCGUUGUGUUGACACCACUGAGAGAUUAUUUUUUUCCCAGAGAAGAAAAAGGAGACACACCUGACUUUUAACCUCUUUGAUCCCUUAAAAAGUUAUUUUCCCAGCUGGGUGCAGUAGCUCCUGCCUGUAAUCCCAGCACUUUGGGAGGCCGAGGUGGGUGGAUCACCUGAGGUCGGGAGUUCAAGACCAGCCUGGUCAGCAUGGUGAAACCCCGUCUCUACUGAAAAUACAAAAAUUAGCUGGGCAUGGUGGUGCAUGCCCAUAAUCCCAGCUACUUGGAAGGCUGAGGCAGGAGAAUCACUUGAAUCACUUGAGCCCUGCAGGUGGAGGUUGCAGUGAGCCAAGAUUACACCAUUGCACUCCAGCCUGGGUGACAGAGCGAGACUUCAUCUCAAAAAAAAAAAAAAAAAAAAGAGAGAGAAAAAAAGUUAUUUCCCCUUGUGCCAAGAAUGAGAUGAAGCCUGGAGAACAGGGUAAAGCAUUGGCUUCCGUAUCUUUCAAAUUGUCCCGAGUGAUUCUGAUCCACAGUGAAAACUGAAAACUGUUCUAAUAUUCACCUUGCCGGAAAAGUAAGACUAUGUGAAGUGAACCCUCCUUCAAAUUGGAGAAGGAAGCUUUGAGAUUUCCAGGGAAGAUGGAAGACAGAACAGGUGUGUAAACUCUUGUAUCUUGCUAUGAACACAUACAUAUGCUUGAUAAAAC
rnacentral:lncRNA from 10 species